rnacentral:tRNA from 1 species
CGUAGCUCAGUGGAUAGAGCAACGGUUUCCUAAACCGCAGGUCGCAGGUUCGAGUCCUGCCGGG